GUCGUACAGGUCUCCGUAGGUGAACCUGCGGAGGGAUCAUUACACAAAUAUGAAGGCGGGCUGGAACCUCUCGGGGUUACAGCCUUGCUGAAUGAUUCACCCUUGUCUUUUGCGUACUUCUUGUUUCCUUGGUGGGUUCGCCCACCACUAGGACAAACAUAAACCUUUUGUAAUUGCAAUCAGCGUCAGUAACAAAUUAAUAAUUACAACUUUCAACAACGGAUCUCUUGGUUCUGGCAUCGAUGAAGAACGCAGCGAAAUGCGAUAAGUAGUGUGAAUUGCAGAAUUCAGUGAAUCAUCGAAUCUUUGAACGCACAUUGCGCCCUUUGGUAUUCCAAAGGGCAUGCCUGUUCGAGCGUCAUUUGUACCCUCAAGCUUUGCUUGGUGUUGGGCGUCUUGUCUCUAGCAUUGCUGGAGACUCGCCUUAAAGUAAUUGGCAGCCGGCCUACUGGUUUCGGAGCGCAGCACAAGUCGCACUCUCUAUCAGCAAAGGUCUAGCAUCCAUUAAGCCUUUUUUUCAACUUUUGACCUCGGAUCAGGUAGGGAUACCCGCUGAACUUAAGCAUAUC
rnacentral:rRNA from 1 species